GCCACCAUGGUGAAAUCGGUAGACAUGCUGCUUUUAGGAAGCAGUGCGAGAGCAUCUCGGUUCGAGUCCGAGUGGUGGCA
rnacentral:tRNA from 1 species